rnacentral:rRNA from 1 species
GUCUGUGCCCUAACCACCCUGCACAUGCCUGAUCCUUUCUAAUCUUAGAAGCUAAGCUGAGUUAGGCCUGGUUGAUACUUGAAUGGGGGACUGCCUGGGAGUACCAGGUGCUGUUGGCU